AGGGUGAGGGUGGUGGAGCGCUGGAUCCAGGUGGCCCAGGAGUUCGAGAUCCUGAAGAACUUCUCCUCGUCCUGCACUGUCAUCUCUGCUCUGCAGGAAACCUCCACAAGCCACCUGAAGAACACACGGGGGAAGUUUCCCGAGAGAACCCUGAAAAUCUUAAGGAACUCAAUAGUCAAGACAAGUCCUUGAACAGAGAACUGAUGAUCAAGGUAGAGUGGAGGCUGGGGUUCUGGAAAGAGAGGAGGGGUGCGGAGGAGGGGCACUGGGCAGGCUGUGGUUUUGAUAGUUUCUCACUUGAACUUUCUCUGAAACAUUCCCAUCUAUUU